GGGACUUAGCUCAGUUGGUAGAGCACCUGCUUUGCAAGCAGGGGGUCAGGGGUUCGAACCCCCUAGUCUCC
rnacentral:tRNA from 1 species